rnacentral:rRNA from 1 species
GAUGAACGCUGGCGGCGUGCUUAAUACAUGCAAGUCGAGCGAACGGACGCGAAGCUUGCUUCUCUGAUGUUAGGGGCGGACGGGUGAGUAACACGUGUAUAAUCUACUUAUCUGACUGGGAUCACCUCGGGAAACCGGCGCUAAUACCGGAUGAUAUUCUGCACCGCAUGGUUCAAUAGUGAAAGACGGUCUUGCUGUCACUUCUCGAUGGAUCUGAGCUGCAUUAGCUAGUUGGUAAGGUAACGGCUUACCAAGGCAACGAUGCAUAGCCGACCUGAUAGGGUGGUCGGCCACCCGAGAGCGUAGACGCGGUCCAUACGCCUGCGGGAGGCAGCAGUAUGGAAUGUGCCGCAGUGGUCGAAAGCCUUACGGAGCGGCGCCGCGUGUGUGAUGAAGAUCUUCGGAGCGUAAAGCCCGGUUAUGAGGGAAAAACAUAUGUGGAAUGAACUGUGCACAUCGUGACGGUACCUAGUCAGAAAGCCACGGCUAACUACGUG